AGCAGCCGCGGUAAUUCCAGCUCCAAUAGCGUAUAUUAAAGUUGUUGCAGUUAAAAAGCUCGUAGUUGAACCUCGGGGUCUACCCAUUGGUCAGGCUUAAUUGUCUGCACUGGUGAGGUGGAUCUCUACCUUCUGAGGAACUUUCAUGCCAUUUAUUUGGUGUAAUGGGAAAUCAGGACUGUUACUUUGAAAAAAUUAGAGUGUUUAAAGCAGACUAUCGUCUGAAUACAUUAGCAUGGAAUAAUGAAAUAGGACGGACUGAUUCUAUUUCGUUGGUUUCUAGGAUCAUCGUAAUGAUUAAUAGGGAUAGUUGGGGGCAUUAGUAUUCAAUUGUCAGAGGUGAAAUUCUUGGAUUUAUUGAAGACUAACUACUGCGAAAGCAUUUGCCAAGGAUGUUUUCAUUAA
rnacentral:rRNA from 1 species